rnacentral:misc_RNA from 1 species
UACGUAGGUGGCGAGCGUUAUUCGGAUUUAUUGGGCGUAAAGGGUCCGCAGGGGGUUUGUCAAGUCUGGUGUGAAAGUCCGCAGCUUAACUGCGGGAUUGCAUUGGAAACUGGCAGACUAGAGCCUGGGAGAGGAGAGUGGAAUUCCUGGUGUAGCGGUGGAAUGCGUAGAUAUCAGGAGGAACAUCGAUGGCGAAGGCAGCUCUCUGGCCCAGCGCUGACCCUCAUGGACGAAAGCUGGGGGAGCAAACAGG